rnacentral:rRNA from 1 species
UGGGGAAUAUUGGACAAUGGGCGCAAGCCUGAUCCAGCCAUGCCGCGUGAGUGAUGAAGGCCCUAGGGUUGUAAAGCUCUUUCAGCGAGGAGGAUAAUGACGUUACUCGCAGAAGAAGCCCCGGCUAACUUCGUGCCAGCAGCCGCGGUAAUACGAAGGGGGCUAGCGUUGUUCGGAAUCACUGGGCGUAAAGCGCACGUAGGCGGACUUUUAAAGUCAGGGGUGAAAUCCCGGGGCUCAACCUCGGAACUGCCUUUGAUACUGGAAGUCUGGAGUCCGAGAGAGGUGAGUGGAACUCCGAGUGUAGAGGUGAAAUUCGUAGAUAUUCGGAAGAACACCAGUGGCGAAGGCGGCUCACUGGCUCGGUACUGACGCUGAGGUGCGAAAGCGUGGGGAGCAAAACAGGAUUAGAUACCCUGGUAGUCCGCGCCGUAAACGAUGGAAGCUAGCCGUCAGGGUGCAUGCAUCUUGGUGGCGCAGUUAACGCAUUAAGCUUCCCGCCUGGGGAGUACGGUCGCAAGAUUAAAACUCAAAUGAAUUGACGGGGUCAUAGCUGUUUCCU